AUGGAAAUAGAAUGUCCUCCAGCAUCCAAGUGUAAACACAGAUCUUUAUUAUGCAAACAUGGGUCCAAAUACAAAACACAGAACGUUUUGGGCUAUUACAUGCCCUUCAUCAAGCAUGAAGAAGGGCAUGUAAAUAGCCUGAAAUGUUCUGUUUUGUAUUUGGACCCAUGUUUGCCUUAUAAAGGUCUAUGUUUACAUUUGGAAGCUGGAGGACAUUGUUUUUCCAUGAAAGCAUCAUAUGACCGCUCAGCGGAAAUUUCAAGCCCAUUUGUCUAUCCCAUCAUUUCUCCUCCAGUAGAAGGCAGUGCUACUGUUACCUUUGGCUGCCUGGCAGACAGCUUUUUACCCCCACCUGCAGAAAUAUAUAUUUCUGGGGAUGUGGUAUCUGGGACAAAGAAUUUCCCUGCAACACUGGGCACGUCUGGGAAAUACAGUAUGAGCAGCCAAGCCACAGCCACAUCGGCAAACUGGAAGACAAAUACCUACCAAUGUAGGGUGACUCACAAUAAUGUCAACAUCACAAAGACCAUCCCUAAGGGUUGGAAUCCCACUCCAUCAGCUAAUAUAAAUGUGAAGCUGAUGCAGGCCUCCUGCCCUGAAAGUGAUAAGUCUGGGCAAGUUAGACUGGUAUGUCAGAUUUCCAGUCUCACCUCAGAGGAAGUGGAAGUAAAAUGGUUUAUCAAUGAUAAAGAGCAGUCUUUUCAGCAGGAGAAGAUAUUAUUGGGGAAAACCAGUAACAACUUGUAUAACACAAACAUCAAGGUGAAUGUCAGCCAGAGUGUGUGGAACAAUGGUGCUAAAUUCAAGUGCCAAGCUAACGAUACAAAAACUAACAAAGUGGCAGAGAAUAGCAUCAGGAAAUGUUCAGAAAGCUUUAACUGUCUGGGAAUAAAUGUAUUCAUGAUUCCACCAUCGAUUGAGGAAAUAUAUGUUCAUCGUACUGCCCCUGUAAGAUGUUUGGCCAACAAUAUUCCCAAUGACAAUAGCAUUAAAUUCACCUGGACAUAUCCAAACAGCAAUGCAGAGUUUACAACAGAGGACCCUAUUUUUAACACCAAUGGCACUAUUAGUGUGAUCAGUAUUCUUACUGCAUCAACUGAAGCAUGGAACAGUGGAACUGAGUUUACCUGUACAUUCACCUAUUCCUCACUGCCCUCUCCAGUCGUCAAAACUAUCAAGAAGAAUACAGAUUUUAAAUUGAUUGCCCCAAGAGUCUACAUAUUCCCUCCUGCACCUGAGGAGCUAGCCUUAAAAGAAGAUGUCACCAUCACAUGCCUGGCCUCUGGUUUUUACCCAAUGGACAUCUACAUGGGCUGGAACCUAAAUGAAUCUGAGGUGUCCAAACAGUUAUAUGUCAACACUGACCCCAAGAGUGAGCUUGACCAGAAAACCUUCUUCAUGAUCAGCAAAAUGACUGUCAACCACUCUGUUUGGGACUCCGGAACUCCCUGUACUUGCGUUGUGGCGCAUGAAGGUCUCCAACUAAACGUCACCCAAAGAACCAUUGACAAAUCUAAUGAUUGUAAAUACACCAUUUUUGCAGAAGGGGAUGGAGAAGAGAUAGAACAACCACCAGAGGAAUCCUUAGAUAUUUCAACAACAUUCAUAUCCCUGUUUAUUGUGAGUCUGAUGUACAGUGUGACUGUCACUCUAUUCAGGGUAAAAUGAAGUUCCAUUUCCAAUACUGUUCUCCACCAAUAAUAGAGUAUUGACAACAAGUGCACCCCCAUAAUAUGAUCCGCUCAUCACAUCACUUGUUCUUCAAUCUCAAGAGGAACACACCAAACCCCAUACCAGUUAAAAUGAGGAUGUGGCACAACAAUGAUUUCAAAGACAGCACCCUAUGUAUUCCUCACAAUCGACCUGUAUGAAUCACAGGAAUUACAGGAAAAUAAUGCUGGUCAAUGAGAUAUAUCAGAUCCUAAUCAUAUAUGUUAUUUGGGGUCAACAAAUA